rnacentral:rRNA from 1 species
UACGAAGGGGGCUAGCGUUGCUCGGAUUGACUGGGCGUAAAGGGCGCGUAGGCGGUUCGUACAGUCAGACGUGAAAUUCCUGGGCUCAACCUGGGGGCUGCGUUUGAUACGUGCGGACUUGAGUGCGGAAGAGGGUCGUGGAAUUCCCAGUGUAGAGGUGAAAUUCGUAGAUAUCGAGAGGAACACCGGUGGCGAAGGCGGCGACCUGGACGAUGACUGACGCUGAGACGCGAAGGCGUGGGGAGCAAACAGG